AGAGUUUGAUCAUGGCUCAGGAUGAACGCUGGCGGCGUGCUUAACACAUGCAAGUCGAACGAAGCACUCUAUUUGAUUUUCUUCGGAAAUGAAGAUUUUGUGACUGAGUGGCGGACGGGUGAGUAUACGCGUGGGUAACCUGCCUCAUACAGGGGGAUAACAGUUGGAAACGACUGCUAAUACCGCAUAAGCGCACGGUAUCGCAUGGUACAGUGUGAAAAACUCCGGUGGUAUGAGAUGGACCCGCGUCUGAUUAGCCAGUUGGUGGGGUAACGGCCUACCAAAGCAACGAUCAGUAGCCGACCUGAGAGGGUGACCGGCCACAUUGGGACUGAGACACGGCCCAAACUCCUACGGGAGGCAGCAGUGGGGAAUAUUGCACAAUGGGGGAAACCCUGAUGCAGCGACGCCGCGUGAACGAAGAAGUAUUUCGGUAUGUAAAGUUCUAUCAGCAGGGAAGAUAAUGACGGUACCUGACUAAGAAGCACCGGCUAAAUACGUGCCAGCAGCCGCGGUAAUACGUAUGGUGCAAGCGUUAUCCGGAUUUACUGGGUGUAAAGGGAGCGCAGGCGGUGCGGCAAGUCUGAUGUGAAAGCCCGGGGCUCAACCCCGGUACUGCAUUGGAAACUGUCGUACUAGAGUGUCGGAGGGGUAAGUGGAAUUCCUAGUGUAGCGGUGAAAUGCGUAGAUAUUAGGAGGAACACCAGUGGCGAAGGCGGCUUACUGGACGAUAACUGACGCUGAGGCUCGAAAGCGUGGGGAGCAAACAGGAUUAGAUACCCUGGUAGUCCACGCCGUAAA
rnacentral:rRNA from 1 species